CCUACGGGAGGCAGCAGUGAGGAAUAUUGGUCAAUGGACGCAAGUCUGAACCAGCCAUGCCGCGUGCAGGAAGACGGCUCUAUGAGUUGUAAACUGCUUUUGUACGAGGGUAAACGCAGAUACGCGUAUCUAUCUGAAAGUAUCGUACGAAUAAGCAUCGGCUAACUCCGUGCCAGCAGCCGCGGUAAUACGGAGGAUUCAAGCGUUAUCCGGAUUUAUUGGGUUUAAAGGGUGCGUAGGCGGUCGGAUAAGUUAGAGGUGAAAUCUCGAGGCUCAACUUUGGAAUUGCCUCUGAUACUGGUCGGCUAGAGAGUAGUUGCGGUAGGCGGAAUGUAUGGUGUAGCGGUGAAAUGCUUAGAGAUCAUACAGAACACCGAUUGCGAAGGCAGCUUACUAAGCUACUUCUGACGCUGAGGCACGAAAGCGUGGGGAGCAAACAGGAUUAGAUACCCGGGUAGUC
rnacentral:rRNA from 1 species